AAAGAAAACAGAAAUAUAAAAGAAAUAAAAAGACUGCGAGACUGUGGAGACAGUGAGAGAUUAUUGUGUCUGAGACCCUCUCUCUUACUCCCUUCUUUUUCUUCUUUGCUCAUGUUCUCUUUGUUUCUUCU
rnacentral:ribozyme from 14 species